rnacentral:rRNA from 1 species
GACGAACGCUGGCGGCGUGCUUAACACAUGCAAGUCGAACGGUGAAGGGACCGGUUUUUGCUGGUUCUGGAUGAGUGGCGAACGGGUGAGUAACACGUGAGUAACCUGCCCCCCUCUUCUGGAUAACCGCAUGAAAGUGUGGCUAAUACGGGAUAUUCUGCGCCUGCUGCAUGGUGGGUGUGGGAAAGAUAUUGUUUCGGUGGGGGAUGGGCUCGCGGCCUAUCAGCUUGUUGGUGGGGUGAUGGCCUACCAAGGCGGUGACGGGUAGCCGGCCUGAGAGGGUGGACGGUCACACUGGGACUGAGACACGGCCCAGACUCCUACGGGAGGCAGCAGUGGGGAAUAUUGCACAAUGGGCGCAAGCCUGAUGCAGCGACGCCGCGUGAGGGAUGGAGGCCUUCGGGUUGUAAACCUCUUUCGCCAGUGAAGCAGGCCUGUCCCUUUUGUGGGUGGGUUGACGGUAGCUGGAGAAGAAGCGCCGGCUAACUACGUG